UACGUAGGGGGCAAGCGUUAUCCGGAUUUACUGGGUGUGAAGGGGGCGCAGACGGCGAUGCAAGCCAGGAGUGAAAGCCCGGGGCCCAACCCCGGGACUGCUCUUGGAACUGCGUGGCUGGAGUGCAGGAGGGGCAGGCGGAAUUCCUGGUGUAGCGGUGAAAUGCGUAGAUAUCAGGAGGAACACCGGUGGCGAAGGCGGCCUACUGGACGGUGACUGACGCUGAGGCUCGAAAGCGUGGGGAGCAAACAGG
rnacentral:rRNA from 1 species